ACAGCUUAAGUUUUAUAUAAAAUUCUGAAAUCAAGAAUAGUCAGUGAUUGUUUAUGCAUCAUAUUUCCCGUGUUUUACUGUCAGGCACUGACUUAGUGUUUACAAUUCUGAAGUGUUCUGUAACAAUUUCAUAAGUGGCAGAGAAAAAUUGAAUGGCAACAUUUUCAGACCCCACCCAUGGACUGUAUCAGCUGCUGCUGUCUGGCAAGUGGUGCUGCAGCCUCAAGUCUCUGAGCAUCAUGCUUUGGGACAGUUUUUCUGCAAGACAACCAGGCUUAAGAAUGCUGGAAACUACUAACCUCCUAAUGCCUGUCUGCUUGUUGAUGUGAAAGGACUGAAUCUUGUGUCCUGAUAUGUCCUCUUUUGGCUUGGAUUUUAAGGGUGAAAUUGUCCUUUUUGUCUGUUUGAAAUGCUGCCCUGACAGUGGUUUUCUGUUAUCGUAUAUAUUGACCAUAGACUAUAUUGGCACAUGUCCACUUUAAAAACAUUGAAGACACAAAGUCAAUCUGUAUAUUCAACAAAAUUCAAGGCCCUCACUGUGAAAUCAUUAGGCCACUACACAAUUUUCUCGGUUGAUGGGGAAAACAGCCACACUAUGAAUAAAGCUUUACAAUGGGGUGCUAUAUUUUUUAAUUUACAAUAGGUGAACAAUGUGUGAAAGACUAGGAAUUUAUUCUGGGGCUCAACAGUUCAACCAAGGCUCUUGCAUAAACUUGAGCUUUGGUAAACUGGGGGUGAAGCAAUUGAAGACAUUAAAAUGCUUGAAACAUUAAACAACCGUGUAAGUGUAAACAAUCAUCGUAAUUGUUUUUCUAGUCUCUCUCUCUGUGCUUUAGGUAUCAAGAAAGUGCGCGCAGAUUCAAAUAAUUGAAUGUUGUACAAUCAUUGGACGAAUCGUACGGCAGAGGCAAUCUCGACCAAUAACAUCGCUUGACUUUGGGAGGGGGAUAUACGUCAUAACGUAAGAUCGCGCCAUACUGGCAGUGGCCAGAGUAGAGAGCCUUGAUAAAGUAUGGAACGUUUUCAGGAUAUUCAGCUUUCACUAAAGCGAAUUUUAGUUGAUGUGUCAAUGAAGAACAAAAGCUGGAAUGUGAAUAGAAGAAGGGGUCGUACGGGGUCUGUAAAAAUACUCAAGUGGUGCUCGCUGCAUAUCAGAUCAAGCAUUGGAAUAAGAUUUUUAUCGGGGGAGAACAACCAACAGAAAGACCCAUUCACCAACUACAUGGCGCACUGAAAGGGGAGAUUCAUGUCACCUUCACCAGUCCUUUCUUUAAUUGCUGGAAACUGUUAAGGGAAAGACCCUCAGACAUAAUAGGAUAAAUGUGGCUGCAGGUAAAAUUAUUUGAUGGUGUUAAGGUUUAUCAUUAUCUAACAAACCAAAUGCUUUGUUCAAUAACAAGAAAUCACGUUAGGGCCAUUUUCUGGAAGAGAAAUCCACUUGGACAGUUUGACAAGGAUCAAGAGGCCAAGGACCAGGUGGUGAAGUCGGAACCAGACCAGACAGCUCUCGCACAGCCAGCCUCUGAACCUGCUCUACAGUUUGAAUCGCCCGGGUGAAGUUAAACUCUACUUUGCUGGUGACCCAGAUGGCUGAGAACAUGAUAGGCUGAAACCCUGGAAGCUAAGAGGGAAGCGGCAAAGGAGUUCGAAGAAGAGCUGAAAAGCACGUCUUAAUGAACACAAGGCGGAGUCCACGAUGUUUGAAAAACGCUUUGGAAAAGGAGACGGGCUGACUACCAAAACACACUUAUAGCCAAUCAGCAGUAAGGAGCGUGUCUACUAACCGACAUCCUUGCCGGGUUGCGUAUGUGUGGGGCGGGUCUAUCAACAGAAGGUCCAGAGUCUAUUGGGGUAGGGGCAUGUUUGUUUAGGUGAUUUCAAAUAUCAACAUUGGCUUUCAAACAUCGUGGACUCUGCCUUUUAAUGUUCCUGCAUUAGAAGCAUUAAUAGAGGCAAAGUUUGUUCAUGCUCAAUUUUCAUUCGAGCUCCAAACUGAAAUUAUUGUUGAGCGGCAACCUAAUGGCUCUGCUCUGGCGAUGCUGUGAGGGAGGCAAAGUUGCCAUUGACAAGGCCUGGUGAAAGCCACUACAGAGGAUCAUAGCCAUCGUUGGAGUUCUGAAAGGACGUGGGUGAAUAUCAAUCUGCCAAAUGAACUUUGUGCAUGCUAAAAAUUCACAUCUUUAUAUUAAUACUGAUUAUAUAUGAACUUGUUUGUUUGUUACUGGAAAGAACUUAGCUUCUAUUGUGUUUGACAGAAGGAGUUUUAAGCCUAUGUGCAUUUUCUAGAUGUUAAGCAUGAACAGUACUUAAACAACCAUUACCCGUACCAGCUCUGUCCGUGCUCCAUUUUCCAUUGCAGAUCAUACUCAGAGAUAGUACCCCUUAAAUGCAGCUGGUCGUCAUAGCAAGGCCACACACAACUGCCGCGGCGUAAUGUUCAAUGCGAGACACACACCAGCGCCCAAAUUUAAUUUAAAACGUUUCAGCAUUACUCGGAUUGUACUUAAUUUAACUAAAACAAAUAUCAUAAACAUGUCUAAUUAAUACUUUAUCAACACGUCAUACUCCUGGAAAAGACCCACAUAAAUCACAUAUUUUAAAGGAAUAGUCUACUCAUUUUCAAUAUUAUUUCAUAUUUUCAUAUUUCAACAUAUAUCAAUAAUAUGUUAUUACCUUAACUAAGAAUUGUUGAUACAUCCCUUUAUCAUCUGUGUGCGUGCACGUAAGCGCUGGAGCGCGCUGCGACGCUUCGAUAGCAUUUAGCUUUGAGUUCACUCAAAAACUCAAAAGUCGAUUUAAAAUUGCAGUUUAAAAAAACUUGCAUGCAUUGAAGACCCGUCACCCCUAGGAACAACAUGAAACGAUUGAAUAUAUCUUCAUAUGAUAUAUCAGGACACUUCUUAAUUUCAUCCUCACACUGGCUCAUACAUGGCUGGUGUAGUAAAUAUUUACCAUAACUGUUUUAAUCAUGUUUUAUGCGUGCUCCCACCACACUGUUUUCUACUGGCUGGCCAUUAAAACUGAGCUCCCGCACAAAGAAGGGAAAUACGUCACAUCUCUUACUCCCGCGUUUGAAAAUAAUGUGGAUAACAACAUUAUUCUGUUUGAGGUGUAACAAGCUGUGUUCCCACAUGUUUAAAGGCUCUCUAAGCGAAUCUGCGAGACGUUAGUUAUUGUUGACGUUUGAAACUGUUUUCAAACAGACGGAGCGUAGCUAACUCCUCCCCCUCCCUUCCGUGCUUUCAUGAACGCGCCCAACCCCCACCCCCAAAUCCUUUGUCGUUUAUUGGCUGGAAUACUUUGUUUUGUUUUGUGAUGCUAGGUUUGGCCACUUGUUGAUAUUGCCGUUUGUGAAGUCUAGGCUGUCUACAGAGAUCGCGUUUUUUUACAGUUUGAUCAACGGACAGGCAGCAAGCAGAUAGUGAGGAGAUGUUUCCGGUAUGUAACAAAAAAUGUUUUAUGGUCUAAAACGCUUCAAUUCCCUUAGAGCGCCUUUGUUUUGCUGCUUAUGACCGUAAUCAUCAUGGAAAACGUUGGUUUACUGAUACUACACGCCAGAAGUCGCACCCAUAAUUCACGCAAAUCGUCAUGGGGUGUAGGAAUAGUGUGCAUAGGGCCCAAAAUUAUUAACAAUAGGGUAACAUUCUUCAUAGAGCCAUAGCUUAUUUAUUUUGCUUUUAAAGUGCACCAAAUGAAUGCACUUAACAUUAAAAUGAACACUUUUCUUUUGAGUGGAAAUGUACAUCUCAAAUGGGGAUCUGCAGUGAAUGGAAAGGACAUUGCUGUAAAAUAUCAGAAAUAUGUAUGUAUGUAUGUAUGUAUGUAUGUAUUUAGUGAAAAAGUUGUUGAUGCAAAUGCACUUAACAUAGACCUUCUGUUUGUUUUUUGUACAUUUAAAACACAAUAUACUAAUACAGAAUGUGUGGACAUAAACUGGAAUGUUGGUUGCAAUUACUGUCAAAUAAUGUUUAUAUUAAGUAAAUCCCAUGUACUAUUAAGAAAAGUCUGUAGAUAUAUUGGAGUUGCUUGUUAUUACUGUCAAAUUAUAUUCAUAUAAGGUUAGUCCCAUGCACUUAUAAGAAAGGUCUGUAUAUAUCGGAGUUGCUUAUAACAGUGGUUCUCAAACUGGGGUCCGGGGCCCCCAGGGGGGCCGCGAGAUGGUGCCAGGGGGGCCCCAGUUUUAUGACAUUUUAUAAAAUACAUUAAAUUCUAAUGAAUUCUGGGAAAUUAAACCAAAAAAAGGUAGCACUACUUUGUAUAAUUUAAUGUUUUGUUUAAUUAAAAUGUGAAGUUUUAGAACAGUUUUUUGUCAUAAAUUUUCUUUGGGGGGGGGCGCGAAGGAAUGCACCGUACACAAAGGGGGGCCGCACGCUGAAAAAGUUUGAGAACCACUGGCUUAUAAAGUAAACCCCAUGAUGUAAUGGAAAAAGUAUAUGUGUGU